UCUAUCAGUACCGCCCUAAACUCUCGCGACCAGCCCCCUCGCGCCAUUAAAAUGCCGCACCUCUCGAGUGCGUCAUCCUGGUGAGGGGCAGGCCUCGGGACCAUGUUUGUGAGUGGCACGCUCCGGAGCGUCCCCUCCCUUAGCGGGCACGUACUCCUUUUGUCACCAUCCUCCCAAGGCCCCCCGCAGCACGUCCCAAAAUAGCCAGUCCUGGUCAGCAGCCCUCAGUCUCUGCUCCGAACAGGGAUAGGAUGACAGAGCUGCGGACACCUGGGAGACACCUCUAAACAGCUGCUGCUGUUUAGAGAAUGGAUUUGAGGGCCACCAGGGGAUGGAACAACAACAGAAACACAGCCAUUGUUGGAGAGAAGAGAAAACAAAGGGGGCAGAGGAACCAGUAUGUGGGCCGGUGCACACUCAUGUGGGCAGAUCUGCAGGGAGGCUGAGGCAGGUGAAUCGCUUGAACCUAGGAGGCGGAGGUUGCAGUGAGCCAAGAUCAUGCCAUUGCACUCCAGCCUGGGCAACAAGACGGAAACUCCACUUCAAAAAAAAAAGACACAGAGGGAAGAAUGCCAUGUGAACACAGGCAGAGACCGGAGUGACACAUCUACAAGCCUAAGGGAUGCAAGGACUGCCAGCAGUCACCAGGAGUCUCAGGAAGGAUUCUCUCCCCCUCAGAUCCUCCAGGAGCCGACCCUGCUACCAGUAACUUUGGAACAGAAUAAAUGUGUUACUUUAAGCUAGCAUGCUUGUAGCAAUUAGUUAUAGCGGUCUCAGGAAAACAAAUACACCAAUCAAGAAUUUUUUCUUGGCUGGACGUGGUGGCUCACACCUGUAAUCCCAGCACUUUGGGAGGCUGAGGUGGGCGGAUCACUUGAGGUCAGGAGUUCGAGACCAGCCUGCCCAAGAUGGGAAAACCCCAUCUCUACUAAAAAUACAAAAAUUAACUGGGCAUGGUGGUGGGCGCCUGUAGUCCCAGCUACUCAGGAGGCUGAGGGAGGAGAAUCGCUUGAACCCGGGAGGCAGAAGUUGCAGUGAGCCGAGAUCACGCCACUGCACUUCAGCCUGGGCAACUGAGACCCUGUCUCAAAAAAAAAGAAAAAUUCUUUUUUCUUUCACUGGCCUUUUGUGCUGUGGUCUGGGUCAAUUUCUGUAAAUGGACAGUUCUGGUCAAAGGUUUUGCCAACCUUCCUUCCCGGCCCCACUUCAAGGUCUCUGCCCGUAAGAGGAUGUAGGAAAUUGACCUCCAGAAUGUCUCUUCCCAACUUCAGGCUCACAGAAAAGUGCCCGCCAGAAUGUUCCGCUCCUCAAAGGGUCCCAGGUAUUCUACCUUCAGCCUGUAUUUUUCUCCCACACACUCCCCACCCUGUUCAAACUAUUGCCACCUUCCAAGACCCCUGGGAUCCCUUCACCCUCUGCACACUUUCUCUCUCCGGCCUGCCCCAGGCCCUCUACCCAGCAGCCUGAGGGACCAUCCUUCUCAGGUGACAAGUCAAAUUGUCACUCCAGUGAUUUGCCCAGCUGGGUCACCACUGCAGCCACAGCAGCUCGCAGCAGGUCCUCGCCAAUUCCCUCACCAGGGACACGAGAUGCGUUCUGGAAGGCACCCAAGAGGAAAAACAGACAAAGGUCCUUUACAAUUAUGUAAGAGAACAGGAACUGAGAUAAAAGAGUCAAGACCUCCAGUGACUUCACAAUCAAGUCCCAAUGCUCAGGCCCAACCUGCUGACUGUGGGGGAAGAGUUGGUGGCAUGUGCGCAGAACAAAACACACAUCAACUCCUGGAGGAAAAAAAAAAAAAAAAAGAAAAAAAACCUUUUAAU